rnacentral:RNase_P_RNA from 1 species
GGAGUCGGCUCGGCAGUCGCUCCGGUGCUUGCACCGGGGAGGAAAGUCCGGGCUCCAUAGGGCAGAGCGCCAGGUAACGCCUGGGGGGCGAGAGCCCACGGAAAGUGCAGCAGAAAGUAUACCGCCUAAGCGACUUCGGUCGCCGGUAAGGGUGAAAUGGUGCGGUAAGAGCGCACCGCGCGGCUGGCAACAGUCCGCGGCGAUGGUAAACCCCGCUCGGAGCAAGACCAAAUAGGAACCCGAUGGUGCGGCCCGCACCGGGUUCGGGUAGGUCGCUUGAGGUGCGUGGCGACACGCAUCCCAGAUGAAUGACUGUCCUCGACAGAACCCGGCUUACAGGCCGACUCCGCCU